UACGGAGGGGGCUAGCGUUGUUCGGAAUUACUGGGCGUAAAGCGCACGUAGGCGGCUCUGCAAGUCAGAGGUGAAAUCCCCAGGCUCAACCUGGGAAUUGCCUUUGAUACUGCGGGGCUAGAGGCCGGGAGAGGGUAGUGGAAUUCCCAGUGUAGAGGUGAAAUUCGUAGAUAUUGGGAAGAACACCGGUGGCGAAGGCGGCUACCUGGACCGGUACUGACGCUGAGGUGCGAAAGCGUGGGGAGCAAACAGG
rnacentral:rRNA from 1 species